rnacentral:rRNA from 1 species
AAAUUGAAGGGUUUGAUCCUGGCUCAGAAUGAACGUUGGCGGCGUGGAUUAGGCAUGCAAGUCGAGCGAGAAGCUUUCCUUCGGGAAAGUGGAAAGCGGCGAAAGGGAGAGUAACGCGUGGAUCACCUGCCCCCGGAUUCGGGAUAGCUACGGGAAACUGUAGGUAAUACCGAAUGAUGUCUACGGACCAAAGGUGUGAUUCCGUCCGGGGAUGGGUCCGCGUCCUAUUAGCUUGUUGGUGGGGUAAUGGCCUACCAAGGCGACGAUGGGUACUGGGUGUGAGAGCAUGACCCAGCUCACUGGGACUGAGACACUGCCCAGACACCUACGGGUGGCUGCAGUCGAGAAUCUUCGGCAAUGGGCGAAAGCCUGACCGAGCGACGCCGCGUGCGGGAUGAAGGCCUUCGGGUUGUAAACCGCUGUCAGAGGGGAUGAAAUCCCGGGGGGCUAUCCCUUCGGGUUGACACAUCCUCAGAGGAAGUCCGGGCUAAGUUCGUGCCAGCAGCCGCGGUAAGACGAACCGGACAAACGUUAUUCGGAAUUAUUGGGCUUAAAGGGUGCGUAGGCGGCGCGAAAAGUUGGGUGUGAAAUCCCUCGGCUCAACCGAGGAACUGCGCUCAAAACUGCCAGGCUUGAGGGAGACAGAGGUGAGCGGAACUGAUGGUGGAGCGGUGAAAUGCGUUGAUAUCAUCAGGAACACCGGUGGCGAAGGCGGCUCACUGGGUCUUUUCUGACGCUGAGGUACGAAAGCUAGGGUAGCGAACGGGAUUAGAUACCCCGGUAGUCCUAGCUGUAAACGAUGAGCACUAGUCUGAGGGGACUUCCACAUCCUCUCGGACGUAGCGAAAGUGUUAAGUGCUCC